rnacentral:lncRNA from 1 species
UGCCAAAAAAAACUUGCUAUAAAAUAUUCAAUAUUUUUUAGAACACCUCUUGGAACUUUAAAGAAAUACAUUGUGAACAUAGGUAAGCUUGACAAUACAUAAUGAUUAACAAUAAUCUAUCCACAUAUGAUAAAUGUUUUCCUUUCCAUCCGCUUAACUUCUGUUCAAUUCUAUCUUUCAAUUAAUUUCCAAUCCUUAUUAUUUAACUUCCUGUGGUGCA